rnacentral:rRNA from 1 species
CAAUAGCGUAUAUUUAAGUUGUUGCAGUUAAAAAGCUCGUAGUUGGAUUUCUGCUGAUCGCUGUCGGUCUGCCGUCAGGUGUGUACUGGCAGUGUUUGGCAUCUAUUCGAGAUUGGGUGUCCACUUGAUUGUGUGCACUCGAUGUCGGAGCUAAUACUUUGAGAAAAUUAGAGUGUUCCACGCAGGCGCGUGCCUUGAAUACUACAGCAUGGGAUAUUGGAAGGCCGAUUGAGCUUUCUUGUUGGUUCUCGGUUUGAUCGGAAUGAUUAAUAGGGAUAGUUGGGGGCAUUCGUAUUCAACUGUCAGAGGUGAAAUUCUUGGAUUUGUUGAAGACGGACUACUGCGAAAGCAUCUGCCAUGGAUGUUCUCAUUGA